UAUUGAUUAUUGUAUGUGAAUUUUUGGUGGGUUGAUGAUUUAUUUCAGUAUUGGAAGCUAAUGGUCCGAAAAAUCCAAGGAAUUUGUUUCAGGAAUACAAGUGAAUAUGAGGUACCACUUGAUUUCCCAAUGCAUUUGAAGAGCUUCGCCAGGAAUUAGCCAAGGUUUAUAGUCUCCAAGUUUGGCUGCCAAGUGCAAUGCACUGUUUCCCUUUUUAUCCACUUUUCCGAAUAUAUUACUUUUCUUUAGAUUUUUCUUGUUGAGCAAGAAGUUAUAUAAGUAAGUUUGUCUGUUCUCUACUGCCAAUAGCACUAUAUUUUUUUUCUUGGCAUCCAUAUCAUGAACAGCUACUGGAAACGAGUCAAUGAUUUUCUCUACCAUUUCUGUCA